GACGAACUAUCUCGCGAAAACGUUAAGAUCACUUUGAUCCUUUUUACGGUAAACGUCUAUGGCUGCUGUUUAAUUUAUUGCGUAUUAAUUCGAUUGUGUAACGUUAAAUAAAAGAAGGAAAAGUGUUUAUUAUAAUUUAACGUUUUUAUUAUAAUUAAUUAUUUAAUUGUCGUGUAAUUGGUGUAAGUUAUACGAGAAGAAAGAAGAAGAAUUUCUGAUUUCUCCGUCCAUUAAGUCCAUCGUUAUAUCAAAUAGAAAAUACGAAUUCAUUCUUUAGAGGUGUAUAGACUGUUGACUCUGAAGACUAAGAAGAGAGAGAAAGAGAGAGAGAGAGAGAGAAAGAGAGAGGAGAACGUAGUAGCAUCCUUCAAAGUUUUCCCACGAUAACAAGAUUCCUUGCAUUUCGAAAAGCAACAUGAAAUCCCCAACGAUACUUUCGCGAGUCAUUAAAGUCCUACACGAAAGAAGAUAAUGCGAAUGUAUUAUCCCUUUUGAAAAUGCAAUUGCUCUUACUUUCCUCCAUCGUUUCGAAAGUCACGAUCGAAGGAAGAGGAGGAGAAGAGUAAGGAGAAAGAGAAGGAAAAUGUAAAGAAGGAUGAGGAAGAGUGGUGGAGAAAGAGGAGGAGGAGGAGAGAAGAGGAGGAGAGGAUAUAGUGCCUAUAUAGUUUUGUGUAUAUAGCUAUAGAGGAAAUCCUGCUUAAUAGCCCGUCGGUAUUCGUUGGUAAUGUUCGACGGUCCAACGUGGAACCUCGAUUAAGUUAUUACGCCCGGUUUUGGACCUCGUUUAGGAAGAGGUUUCCGUGGUAACCCUUUUGGCAUUAUUUCGAACUCCAAGCUCUAAUGAUCGAAUAUCGAAAUUUACU